AGACAAUGACAGGGUGUGUCCCAUCCAUCACUUUUAURCUAUAUAAAUCAACCACAAGUCAGCAUUAGUUGAUUGUGAAUGCUUAAGGAGAGCUGUACGAGUGUCAAGUAUUGAAGCUGGAAAACAAUACAUCAAAGAAGAUGAGAUUUGCAGUGUUUUGUCUGUUCGCUGCCUUAUGUUUGAUGGUUGUGCCGAAUGAAGUCGUCGGUAGACCGCCUAGCCAAUACUGCAAGAUAGUGUGUAACAACGUUCUGACCGACUGCCUGACAUCUGGAAAGACCUCACCUAGUUCUUGCUAUGAAAUGGAAUAUUUCUGCCUUUAUUCAUGUUAACUGCCCCAGCACGUGAUGAAAAAAUUAUAGAAUAUAAUUAUAUACAAUUGUAAAUUAAAAUAAAACGAUCAACUGAA